rnacentral:rRNA from 1 species
GAAGCCGCGAAAAGCUCAUUACAAUAGCCGUUGUUUCUUGGAUCUCCAAAUACUACAUGGAUAACUGUGGUAAUUCUAGAGCUAAUACAUGCGUACAUGCAUCAACUGGUUUCAGCCGGGCGAUGUGCAUUUAUUGGUACAGAACCAUCCGGCUUCGGCCGUUCAUUGGUGAAUCUAAAUAACUGAGCGGAGCACACACUCUUGCAGUGGUGCCAGUUCUUUCAAGUGUCUACCUUAUCAACUUCCGACGGUAGUUUAUGUGCCUACCGUGGUUGUAACGGGUAACGGAGAAUCAGGGUUUGACUCCGGAGAGGGAGCCUGAGAAACGGCUACCACUUCUAAGGAAGGCAGCAGGCGCGCAAAUUACCCAUUCUCAGCACGAGGAGGUAGUGACGAGAAAUAGCAAGGCGGUGCCCAACGGGUGCCGUCAUUGCAAUGAGUACAAUUUAAAUCCUUAAACGAGGAUCGAGUCGAGGGGAAGUCUGGUGCCAGCAGCCGCGGUAAUUCCAGCUCGGCUAGCAUAUAUCAAUGUUGCUGCGGUUAAAAAGCUCGUAGUUGGAUCUGGCGUUUAUGUGCGGGUGCACCCAG